GUGAGGAAUAUUCGGCAAUGGGGGCAACCCUGACCGAGCAACGCCGCGUGGAGGAUGACGGUUUUCGGAUUGUAAACUCCUUUUCUGCGGGAAGAGGCAGGACGGUACCGCAGGAAUAAGUCACGGCUAACUACGUGCCAGCAGCCGCGGUAAUACGUAGGUGGCAAGCGUUAUCCGGAAUUACUGGGCGUAAAGCGCACGCAGGUGGCAUGUUAAGUCUGACGUGAAAGCUCCUGGCUUAACUGGGAGAGGUCGUUGGAGACUGGCAGGCUUGAGGUAAGGAGAGGGGUGCAGAAUUCCCGGUGUAGUGGUGGAAUGCGUAGAUAUCGGGAGGAAUACCAGUGGCGAAAGCGGCACCCUGGCCUUGGCCUGACGCUCAGGUGCGAAAGCGUGGGGAGCGAACGGGAUUAGAUACCCCUGUAGUCC
rnacentral:rRNA from 1 species